rnacentral:rRNA from 1 species
UACGAGGGGUGCAAGCGUUGCUCGGAAUUAUUGGGCGUAAAGGGUAGGUAGGUGGUCUCAUUUGUCCGGGGUGAAAGCCUUGAGCUUAACUCAAGAAGUGCCUCGGAAACGGUGAGACUGGAGUUCUGGAGAGGUUCGUGGAAUUCCCGGUGUAGCGGUGAAAUGCGUAGAGAUCGGGAGGAACACCAGCGGCGAAGGCGGCGAACUGGACAGAGACUGACACUCAACUACGAAAGCGUGGGGAGCAAACAGG